CAGGCUGCCUCUGGGGAAGAAGCAAGAGCAGUGCCACCAGCAAUAGCGUUCCCAGGCCUUCUCAUAGCCUAGGGCACUGAUGGGUCACCCAGCCCAGGACAGCCCUUCAGCUCACUAUGGAAGGUCGACUCUCUUCUCUGCAGCGUUUUGGGUGACCAACGCCCGGAACACCUUGUCCCCGGAGAGAAUUGACUGUCACGUCCCCAUGAGCAGGAGCCACUUCCUCAUGCCUGUGGCGCUGAAAACUCCCAUUGCUGAACAACGAGGCCAUGACAUUGUUCCAACUCCACAGCCUCCACACCCCGAAGGUGUUGGGCUCUGAUCUGACCUCGCUUCUUGUGUUUUCGAGAACUGAACAAGCUUUGCUUGCCCAGCACUGCCAAA